GACACUUAGGUAAGGAUUUGUGGCUUAAACAUAACCAGUCUAGUUCAACCUCACUACACCUAACACAACAUAAAGCCACUCUUAGUUAAACAUAGAUGUCCUUUAUAUAGGCUACUGACAAGACAGAAAACAAACAGAACAUAAGCAGAAACCUGAAGAUGGAGAAAUGUUAAGGACUGGAGAUGCUGUUUCAGUCAUUACAGAUUACUCAUAACAAGCCCAUUAAAUGCUGUCACAGAGGUGCAAGGUCUCCACCAGAGUCCAUCCACUGACAUCAGAGUACGAAGGUCCCAGGAGCAGAAAUGACUGUAAAAUCUCUGACAGUCUGUGGCACUCAGACGUUUCACAGGCAAAAAGAAUAACCAACCUACUAAGGACACAGUAAGAGAGCGAGACACAGCACCACCAAGCCAGAGAAUGUAAAUCCCAAGCAUUGUGGGUACACAGGUCCCUUGUGGCAAGACUACGACAAGAUCCCAGGGUCACCCCACCUGUACCAGUGGCUGUCCUACAAGCCAUCCUUCCAGUUCCCAUUCCUGGCAUAGUAGAUGCCACUCAGCUGUCCCUGUGCCCCCGGACCCUGGACCUCCCGGACCCGCCAGCUGCUUCUGCUGCCCUGUUGUUGUUUUUGCCUGGGUUUGUUUUUACCCCUGUUGUGUUGUCCGCACCCAUUCCGGUGCCCGUGUCUGUUUUUGUUCCUGUCCUGUUGUCCUUGGCCUGGUCUGUGUUGUGUUGCUGUUAUCCUCGUCCUUUUGUGCGUCUGGUCUUCCCUUGUUGUUUGUCGCCUUUUGUUGUGUCUCUUCAUCCUCCCUGCCAGCCUCUUUGUCAUCCUCAGUCUUCUGUCCAGUGUUCUGUUCCUGCUUCCGCUUCUGCGUCUGUUCCUAGUUCGUGUGCUGUUCUGUCUGCUCCUGCUCUCUUGGUUUCUGUGUCUGUUCUUGCAUCUGUUCCCUUAUUUGCUCUUGUUGAGUCUC